rnacentral:rRNA from 1 species
AGGACGAACGCUGGCGGCGUGCUUAACACAUGCAAGUCGAGCGGUAAGGCCUUUCGGGGUACACGAGCGGCGAACGGGUGAGUAACACGUGGGUGAUCUGCCCUGCACUUCGGGAUAAGCCUGGGAAACUGGGUCUAAUACCGGAUAUGACCUCCUAUCGCAUGGUGGUGGUGGAAAGAUUUAUCGGUGCAGGAUGGGCCCGCGGCCUAUCAGCUUGUUGGUGGGUAAUGGCCUACCAAGGCGACG